GACGAACGCUGGCGGCGUGCUUAACACAUGCAAGUCGAACGGAAAGGCCUGCUUUCCCUUGUGGAUUGCGGGUACUCGAGUGGCGAACGGGUGAGUAACACGUGAGUGAUCUGCCCCCAACUUGGGUAUAAGCCUGGGAAACUGGGUCUAAUUCCCGAUAGGACUGCAGGGUGGUGCCUGUGGUGGAAAACGAUUUUCUAGUGGUUGGGGAUGAGCUCGCGGCCUAUCAGCUUGUUGGUGGGGUAAUGGCCUACCAAGGCGGCGACGGGUAGCCGGCCUGGGAGGGUGGACGGCCACAUUGGGACUGAGAUACGGCCCAGACUCCUACGGGAGGCAGCAGUGGGGAAUAUUGCACAAUGGGCGGAAGCCUGAUGCAGCGACGCCGCGUGGGGGAUGACGGCCUUCGGGUUGUAACCUCCUUUCGACCGCGAGGAAGCCACCUGGUUGGAAGGGUGGUGACGGUAGUGGUAGAAGAAGCACCGGCUAACUACGUG
rnacentral:rRNA from 1 species